AUGAAGUCGGAAUCGCUAGUAAUCGUGAAUCAGAAUGUCACGGUGAAUACGUUCCCGGGCCUUGUACACACCGCCCGUCACACCAUGGGAGUGGGUUGCACCAGAAGUAGAUAGCUUAACCGCAAGGGGGGCGUUUACCACGGUGUGGUCCAUGACUGGGGUGAAGUCGUAACAAGGUAACCGUAGGGGAACCUGCGGUUGGAUCACCUCCUUACGAAGA
rnacentral:rRNA from 1 species